AAUAGAUACCCGGGUAGUCCACCCCGUAAACGUUGGGAACUAGUUGUGGGGUCCUUUCCACGGAUUCCGUGACGCAGCUAACGCAUUAAGUUCCCCGCCUGGGGAGUACGGCCGCAAGGCUAAAACUCAAAGGAAUUGACGGGGACCCGCACAAGCGGCGGAGCAUGCGGAUUAAUUCGAUGCAACGCGAAGAACCUUACCAAGGCUUGACAUACACGAGAACACCCUAGAAAUAGGGGACUCUUUGGACACUCGUGAACAGGUGGUGCAUGGUUGUCGUCAGCUCGUGUCGUGAGAUGUUGGGUUAAGUCCCGCAACGAGCGCAACCCUCGUUCUAUGUUGCCAGCACGUAAUGGUGGGAACUCAUGGGAUACUGCCGGGGUCAACUCGGAGGAAGGUGGGGAUGACGUCAAAUCAUCAUGCCCCUUAUGUCUUGGGCUUCACGCAUGCUACAAUGGCCGGUACAAGGGCUGCAAUACCGUGAGGUGAGCGAAUCCCAAAAGCCGGUCCAGUUCGGAUUGAGGUCUGCAACUCGACCUCAUG
rnacentral:rRNA from 1 species